GCGGAUGUAGCUCAAUGGUAGAGCUCCAGCCUUCCAAGCUGGUGGCGUGGGUUCGAUUCCCAUCAUCCGCUCCA
rnacentral:tRNA from 1 species